rnacentral:rRNA from 1 species
GACGAACGCUGGCGGCGUGCCUAAUACAUGCAAGUCGAGCGGACGGGUGGGAGCUUGCUCCCAGACCGUCAGCGGCGGCCGGGUGAGUAACACGUGGGCAACCUGCCUGUAAGACUGGGAUAACUCCGGGAAACCGGGGCUAAUACCGGAUAACUCUUUCCCUCACAUGAGGGAAAGCUGAAAGAUGGCAUCUCGCUAUCACUUACAGAUGGGCCCGCGGCGCAUUAGCUAGUUGGUGAGGUAACGGCUCACCAAGGCGACGAUGCGUAGCCGACCUGAGAGGGUGAUCGGCCACACUGGGACUGAGACACGGCCCAGACUCCUACGGGAGGCAGCAGUAGGGAAUCUUCCGCAAUGGACGAAAGUCUGACGGAGCAACGCCGCGUGAGUGAUGAAGGUUUUCGGAUCGUAAAACUCUGUUGUCAGGGAAGAACAAGUACCGGAGUAACUGCCGGUACCUUGACGGUACCUGACCAGAAAGCCACGGCUAACUACGUG